ensembl:ncRNA F56B6.7 ncRNA
GGAGCAUCAGCAAAAACAUCAAGCCUGCACAUAUUUGAUAGUGUGACGUGAUUUCAGAUCAUUAGAAUGUCGGCGAUGGCGGCGGGACGGGUAGAUGGAAAUGAAGAAGCCAAAGAAGGGAGUGGGGGGACAAAAAGAAAUACGU